ensembl:lncRNA LOC102555338 uncharacterized LOC102555338
CUGGGGUUAGGACUGGGGCAGAAGGGAGGAGAGUGGGAGGAGAGUCCUGCCUCUGCCCAGUUCUCACUGGCCCUGAAGCCCUGCCACUGUCUUUUUCUCUCUCCAUGUGGAGGAAUGUUCAUGGUGCCCAUUCAUUCUCAGAAGGCUGGCUCUGGAAAAAGCUGAGUGGGCCCUGGGAGAAAUCGCAUGUGGCAAGAAUGGCAGCUAUCCCCCACUCCAGGUUCAAGCCCCUGUGCUAUGUGUCCCUGUCAGGAUCUAGCAGAGUAAAAGUGGCCAGCCAAGAUCCCUGAGGCUCCAGCCCUUAGAUUACGCUCAAGACCAGUCAAGUUGCCAACGACCUGCUUCUGAGCCAAGCUCGUAUCCAAGAGUCGGGACAGGACACAUGAGGCUAGAGGCAUCUAACUGGGACUUGGUCUAGCAUAUCAGUCUGAGGAUGUUCUCUGCUGCCACUCCAGUGAGCUUGAGCUCCCUCUCGGACCCCAGAGCACAUGUCCUGCUGCUUACAGUUCUGGAUUCUCGGGCCAAGUUACACGCUUUAUUUAUACGCAGUGCCAUCUAGGGUCUUUUGCAUACAAGACCUGGAAUAGAUACCCAUCAGGGGACACUGAAACCUGUGGCAGAAGAGCUGGUGUGCGCUACAGUGAGAGCUCAGACUCUAGUAUAUGUGUGCCCUAUGAUGUGGUGCUGUCUUGGCUCCUCAUCCCAACAUGGUGCCAGUGACAGGAAGUUGACAGGCUGCAUGCUGUCGUCUGACCAUGAGACUCCUUCAGAGCCUCCAGAUAGCAAAUCGUCUGUCCGUGCUGUGGCCCUCGCCUCCUCUCUUGCCUCUGGGGGGCUUCUCUUUAUGCGUCCCUGUUUAAAGCUGGUUCUGUUGAGCAAGGCUGGCAAGUGGAUGAAAUGUAUCCCUGAGUCUGGAGCCUGUAGCCUCUCUUCCCUCAGCCAGCAAGAGUCAUGUGAGUGUAUGUGCCAGCCCAGUACCCACCACUGCUGCGGGCCGUCUCAGCAAUCCCACAGACUUUUCUUCCAUCCGCUAAGCACCCACUUCCUCACCUCCACUCAGUCCACCGGCCCUCUCUGAGAGGGAGCACUCCACCCAGUCCACCUGUCCUCUCUGAGUGGGAGCACCCCACCCAGUCCAC